rnacentral:lncRNA from 1 species
UGUUAAUCUCUUUAACAUCUGUAUAAAUAUAUUUUUUAAUAAAGUGACAUGAAACACUACAUUAGUGUUAAUUUAAGGUUAAUGAAAUAAGGAUCAUUGAAAUCACGGAGGCCUGCUCCAACAACUGUCAAACAUUUAACAGUUUCUGACUCUAUAUUUAAAAUCUUAUCAUUUUUUUGGCAUGUGUAGCACCACCAUGUGGAGCACCUGUUGUCGUUGUUGGAGCAGCUGUUGUUGUGGUUGGAGCAGCUGUUGUUGUGGUUGGUGCUGCAAUCGUUGUGGUUGGAGCAGCUGUGGUUGUGGUUGGAGAAGCACUUGUUGUGGUUGGUGCAGCUGUUGUCGUUGUUGGAGCAACAGUUGUUGUGGUUGGUGCAGAUGUUGUUGUUGUUGGUGCUGCAAUCGUUGUGGUUGGAGCAGCUGUGGUUGUGGUUGGUGCUGCAGUCGUUGUGGUUGGUGCAGAUGUUGUUGUUGUUGGUGCUGCAGUCGUUGUGGUUGGAGCAGCUGUGGUUGUGGUUGGUGCUGCAGUCGUUGUGGUUGGUGCAGAUGUUGUUGUUGUUGGUGCUGCAGUCGUUGUGGUUGGAGCAGCAGUUGUUGUGGUUGGUGCUGCAAUCGUUGUUGUUGGAGCAGCUGUGGUUGUGGUUGGAGAAGCACUUGUUGUGGUUGGUGCAGCUGUUGUCGUUGUUGGAGCAGCAGUUGUUGUGGUUGGUGCAGAUGUUGUUGUUGUUGGUGCUGCAGUCGUUGUGGUUGGAGCAGCUGUGGUUGUGGUUGGUGCUGCAGUCGUUGUAGGUAAAUUGCAGGUUGGUCCACUCUUGAUGGUACCAACACUCUGCAUGAAAGGUAGAGAACCCAGGCUUGAAGCAGCUGCACACAGGUUGCUGGAUGCACAGCCGUAAGCUGGAAAAUCCUUGGUGCCAUCGUUCACUGUAGAUGAAAAAUCCCAGUUUCAACAAUUUCACAUAUUUUUAGACAUACAUAACUGUGUAACAGCUUUUGAAAAUCAAG